GUCAUGACGUUUAUUUAAUUACCGGAGGUCAAUUUUGGUAUUUCCAUGCACAGUACACCUGCGGGGCCAAGGCAACGUUUCGUAGUGGAUGCGAAUCAUCCUUCUUUGCUCGCUCUCUACACGCAUCAAAACCGCCUUUUCAAGCCUUCCUCUCUCCCUCUCUUCCUUCUCUCUCAUAUGGUUUCUUCUCUUAGGGUUAGGGUUUCUUAGUUGCGUCUACUUUGAAAUUUCAAAAGACAAAUGCUGCGGAUAAUUUCUUAUUUUCCUUUCAAAUUUAUUUAUAUUUCCUUCGAAGAACAUUCUAGGUCAAGCAUGGCUUGAUUCCGCUCUUCUGUGGUUUAUCUGUUUGCUCCACAGGGUGGCAGUUCCGGAAUGGAAAUGUAUAGUGUUUCUGGACAUGGAAAUGCAGAAAACUAUUUGAUUCAAGGUACUGAGAUAAACCCUAUUCUGACAAGUCCACUUCUUGAACAAG
rnacentral:misc_RNA from 1 species